rnacentral:lncRNA from 1 species
GGAUCCGAUCAGAUGCUCAGCGGGCCCGGUCGCUGCUGUGGUCGGACAGCCCCUCACUCUGAACUGCCAGCUUGAGCCUCAACAAGAUGUGACCACGAAAGUGAUCGAAUGGAUGUUCAACAAGAAAGCUGUGGUCCUUGUUUAUAAAAGCAGAGCAUUUUCCCCUGGUGAUCAGGCAGAACAGUUCAGAGACAGAGCGUCUCUCGGCACCAGUGGGGAUCUAACCAAAGGGAAAAUACCUGUGAUAAUCUCAUCCGUCAGGGAAGAUGAUGCUGGAACGUACAGCUGCUCUGUUCGAAAUGGAAAACAGCAAAUCUCCUGCUCUAUUCAAGUCACCGUGGCUCCUAAAGAGCAGCUUACAGACCCGGUUAAUACUCCGGCUGGAGUCAGGAGUAAAGCCCCGGACCAAAAUGGUGCUUCACUGGCGUUGGCAGUGGUUAUAUCUACAUUCCUGUGUUUGCUGUGCUAUUGAACAAAAGUGGAGAUCA